AACCUAGCACACCUGCGGUGUGUACCUGCGGAGGGAUCAUUACACAAUACAAUAUGAAGGCUGUCCGCAGCUGGAGUAUUUUAUUACCCUUGUCUUUUGCGCACUUGUUGUUUCCUGGGCGGGUUCGCUCGCCACCAGGACCACCAAGUAAACCUUUUUUAUGCAGUUGCAAUCAGCGUCAGUACAAACAAUGUAAAUCAUUUACAACUUUCAACAACGGAUCUCAGAUCGGAAGAGCAC
rnacentral:misc_RNA from 1 species